rnacentral:rRNA from 1 species
GAAAGUAAAAAAGGGCGCAUGGCGGAUGCCUUGGCUCUCGGAGGCGAUGAAGGACGUGAUAAGCUGCGAUAAGCUUUGGGGAGGUGCAAAUGACCUUUGAUCCAGAGAUUUCCGAAUGGGACAACCCAAUAUCUUGAAGAGGUAUUAUCCAACGUUGUUGGAGGCUAACGCAGGGAACUGAAACAUCUUAGUACCUGCAGGAAAAGAAAAUAAACAAUGAUUCCCCCAGUAGUGGCGAGCGAACGGGGAACAGCCCAAACCAUCCAUGUUACGGCAUGGGUGGGGUUGUAGGACUACGCCGUUGCAUGAAGACAUCAGAGAAGAACUUUCUGGAAAGAAAGACCAUAGAGCAUGACAGUUGCGUAUUCGAACGUUGUCGAAGCAUAGUAGUAUCCUGAGUAGCGCGGAGCACGAGGAAUUCUGCGUGAAUCUGCCGGGACCAUCCGGUAAGGCUAAAUACUCCCGAGAGACCGAUAGCGAACCAGUACCGUGAGGGAAAGGUGAAAAGCACUUCGAACAGAAGAGUGAAAUAGUUCCUGAAACCGUGCGCCUACAAGCGGUCGGAGCUCGUUAAUGAGUGACGGCGUGCCUUUUGCAUAAUGAACCUACGAGUUGCCUUUGCCGGCAAGGUUAAGUGUGACGACACACGUAUCCGAAGCGAAAGCGAGUCUGAACAGGGCGUAUAGUCGGCAGUGGCAGACGCGAAACCAAGUGAUCUACCCUUGGCCAGGUUGAAGGCUGGGUAACACCAGCUGGAGGACCGCACCAAUAAGCGUUGAAAAGCUUCUGGAUGAGCUGAGGGUAGGGGUGAAAGGCUAAUCAAACUUGGAGAUAGCUCGUACUCCCCGAAAUGCAUUUAGGUGCAGCCUUGCGGGUUACUGAUGUGAGGUAGAGCGACUGAUAAGAUGCGAGGGCUUCACCGCCUAUCAAGUCUUGACAAACUCCGAAUGCGCAUCAGUUCUACCGCAGGAGUGAGGGCAUGGGUGCUAAGGUCCGUGCCCGAGAGGAGAAGAAUCCGGACCACCUGCUAAGGUCCCGAAAUGACAGCUAAGUUAAACUAACGAAGUCUGACUGCUAAGACAGCUAGGAUGUUGGCUUGGAAGCAGCCAUUCAUUUAAAGAGUGCGUAACAGCUCACUAGUCGAGGAGUCGGGCGUGGAUAAUAAUCGGGUAUUAAGUUGUCUACCGAAGCAGUGGGAUCAUUAAUAUGAUCGGUAGGGGAGCAUUCCAGUCAGCGUCGAAGGCGUACCGUGAGGUAUUCUGGAGCGUCUGGAAAAGCAAAUGUAGGUAUAAGUAACGAUAAAGGGGGCGGGAAACCCCCUCGCCGAAAGACUAAGGUUUCCUGAUCAACGCUAAUCGGAUCAGGGUCAGUCGGGUCCUAAGGCUCAGCCGAACGGCGAUGCCGAUGGCAGAAACGGUUAAUAUUCCGUUACUACCUUCAGGAGUGACGUGGAGACGCAGUAGUGACAGUGCCGCCAUCUGACGGAAUAGAUGGUUGAAGGGUGUAGGAGUCGAUCAUGGCAGGCAAAUCCACCAUGAGAUCCGAACCUGAUAGUAUGCCGCGUCCUUCGGGACAAGGCAAUAGUGCGCGUAAGCAUGCUGCCGAGAAAAUCCGCUAAACUUAAUCCUGCAGGUACCCGUACCGCAAACGGACACACGUAGUCGGGAUGAAUAUUCUAAGGCGCUUGAGUGAUUCACGGUUAAGGAACUAGGCAAACUGACCCUGUAACUUCGGGAUAAAGGGUCCCUACCCUUUUAUGGGAGGGCGCAGAGAAUCGGUCCAGGCAACUGUUUAACAAAAACACAGGGCUGUGCCAAAUCGAAAGAUCCAGUAUACAGCCUGACACCUGCCCGGUGCUGGAAGGUUAAGAGGAGAUGUCAUCGAUAAGAGAAGCGUUGAAUUGAAGCCCCAGUAAACGGCGGCCGUAACUAUAACGGUCCUAAGGUAGCGAAAUUCCUUGUCGGGUAAGUUCCGACCUGCACGAAUGGUGUAAUGAUCUGGACGCUGUCUCAACCGUGAGCUCAGUGAAAUUGUAGUAUCGGUGAAGAUGCCGAUUACCCGCGAUGGGACGAAAAGACCCCGUGAACCUUUACUAUAGCUUAUCAUUGAAUCUGGGCACGUGAUGUGUAGGAU